UAACCUGCGGAAGGAUCAUUACCGAGUUUUCGAGCUCCGGCUCGACUCUCCCACCCUUUGUGAACGUACCUCUGUUGCUUUGGCGGCUCCGGCCGCCAAAGGACCUUCAAACUCCAGUCAGUAAACGCAGACGUCUGAUAAACAAGUUAAUAAACUAAAACUUUCAACAACGGAUCUCUUGGUUCUGGCAUCGAUGAAGAACGCAGCGAAAUGCGAUAAGUAAUGUGAAUUGCAGAAUUCAGUGAAUCAUCGAAUCUUUGAACGCACAUUGCGCCCCUUGGUAUUCCGGGGGGCAUGCCUGUUCGAGCGUCAUUACAACCCUCAAGCUCUGCUUGGAAUUGGGCACCGUCCUCACUGCGGACGCGCCUCAAAGACCUCGGCGGUGGCUGUUCAGCCCUCAAGCGUAGUAGAAUACACCUCGCUUUGGAGCGGUUGGCGUCGCCCGCCGGACGAACCUUCUGAACUUUUCUCAAGGUUGACCUCGGAUCAGGUAGGGAUACCCGCUGAACUUAAGCAUAUCAAUAGG
rnacentral:rRNA from 1 species